rnacentral:rRNA from 1 species
AUGAGAGGCAUGUUUUGGAAUAGCAGAGGUCUCUCAGACUUGGCUAAACAUAAACACGUCAGUGAUUGUGUCCGGGAACACGGUUUGGAUUUUGUGGCAAUUUCUGAGGCUGGCAAGUGCGACUUUCGCCCACAUGUCCUCGAUCACCUAUCAGGUGGUUUCGACUACGCAUGGCAUAGUCUACCAGCUCGUGGAAGAUCUGGAGGAAUCCUUCUGGGGAUAAUGACAACAACCAUGGACUUGUUGGCUUUUUCGAUCGGUGAAUUUCAUAUAAAAUUUCACCUGCGGAAUAGAGCUGACAACUUUACAUGGACUCUUGUCGCUGUCUAUGGGGCUGCCCAAGAUGAGCAUAAAUCUGCUUUCCUUCGGGAAUUGGUUAACCUGGCUAAGAAUAACCCGUACCCAAUGCUUAUUGGGGGGGACUUUAACAUUCUGAGGUACCAGGAAGAGAAAAAUAAUGACCGCUUUGACACUCAUUGGCCUUUCCUAUUCAAUGCUGUGAUAGACAGUUUGGAUCUUCGGGAGGCCAGUAUGUCGGGGCGUCAGUUCACUUGGGCGAACAACCGAUCUGUGCCGACAUAUGAGAAGCUCGAUAGGGUACUAAUGGAUACCGAAUGGGAACUAAAAUUCCCUCUGGUAACCGUGCGAGCCCUAGAGCGUAUCAAGGCCUUAUCGGAUCAUGCACCCAUCAUUCUGGAUUCUAACUCUACGAACCCAGCCACCCGACGCCCUUUCAAAUUUGAAUUGGGAUGGCUGAAUAGGGACGGAUUCGUAGACAUGAUCAAGAAUGUUUGGGAGAGGCCCGCUGUUGGUCGUACACCUAUUCAACGAUGGAUCUUUAAAAUAAGAGCCAUGAGGCGACACCUCUCUGGAUGGGCAAAACACACCAACGGAAUAUAUAAAAAAGAAAAACAAAGGCUCUGUACCAUCAUUGAUGACCUCGACAAAAUUGCAGAGACGCGCACAUUGUCUCAGCAAGAGAUUGAAUUGAAAAAUCAAUCUAAUGAGAUGGUUGCCCGUCUAUUGCAAGAAGAGGAGAUCAAAUACUACCAGAGAUCCAAAGCUGAUUUCAUUUUAAUGGGUGAUAGUAAUACAAGAUACUUCCAAUUGAUCGCCAAUGGGCGGCAUAGGAAGAAAUGUAUUUACAGUCUCCAACAAGAUGAGGGGAGGAUCGAAGGUCAGGAGGAGCUCAAAAAGUAUAUCACCAAAUACUACAAAUCUCUUUUUGGAGCGCCGACUGAAGGGAAUUUCACCCUUGAUGAAACCCGAAUAGAUGAUAUUCCACAUGUCACAGCAGAUGAAAACGAUAUCCUAACGGCACCAUUCUCAGAAGAGGAGGUACGAGCUGCGGUGUUCCAAAUGGAACAUAACAAAGCUCCAGGCCCUGAUGGCUUCCCCACAGAAUUCUAUCAGAAUUUCUGGGAUAUCAUCAAGUCCGACCUUUUGGAGUUGUUCAAUUGUUUUCAUGCCGACCAACUUGACCUAUUCAGACUUAAUUUUGGCGAGAUUGUCUUGUUGCCGAAGAUUAAGGAGGCCGAACGGAUUCAACAGUUCAGACCCAUAUGCCUCCUUAAUGUCAGCUUCAAGAUUUUCACCAAAGUGGCGACGAAUAGAUUAAACUCGGUAGCUGACCAUGUUGUUCGGCCAUCUCAAACAGCUUUCAUGCAAGGAAGGAACAUACUCGAUGGCGUAGUAAUCCUGCAUGAGACCGUCCAUGAGAUGCACCGGAAAAACAUGAGUGGAGUAGUAUUCAAAAUAGACUUUGAAAAAGCCUAUGACAAGGUCAAAUGGUCUUUCCUCCAACAGGCCCUAAGGAUGAAAGGCUUCUCCGAUAAAUGGUGCAAGUGGAUCCACAAUUUUGUAACUGGAGGUAGUGUGGCCAUCAAAGUCAAUGAUGAUGUCGGCCAUUAUUUUCAGACAAAAAAAGGACUACGACAGGGUGAUGCCAUAUCCCCAAUGUUAUUUAUCAUUGUGGCUGACAUGUUGGCUAUUCUGAUUGAGCGCGCCAAGCAGGACGGGCAAAUUACAGGAGUAGUGCCACAUCUAGUGGAUGGUGGUCUCUCUGUUCUGCAAUAUGCCGAUGACACAAUUCUCUUUAUGGAACAUGACCUAGACAAGGCUAGAAACCUGAAACUUCUGCUGUCAGCGUUUGAGCAAAUGUCGGGUCUUAAGAUUAACUUCCAUAAAAGUGAAUUGUUCUGCUUUGGAGAAGCCGUUGAGGCAGCGGCCGAUUAUGCUGACCUUUUUGGUUGUGCACAUGGACAAUUCCCAAUCAAAUAUUUGGGAAUACCAAUUCACUAUCGGCGUCUCACCAUUGCGGAGUGGAAGCAUGUAGAGGAGCGGCUAGAGAAACGCUUGAGCAGCUGGAAAGGCAAGUUGCUCUCGGUUGGAGGACGACUGGUUUUAAUAAACUCUGUCCUCACAAAUAUGGUUCUCUAUAUGCUUUCAUUCUUCCAGCUCCCAAAAGGGGUCUUGCAAAGACUGGACUAUUUUAGGUCCAGGUUCUUUUGGCAAGGAGAUGGUGAAAAGAAAAAAUAUAGGCUGGCCAAAUGGAGUGUGGUUUGUAGGCCGAAAGACCAGGGCGGCCUCGGUAUUCAUGACCUGCAGGUCAAGAAUGAGGCCCUACUUAGUAAAUGGUUGUUCAAACUUCUUACUGAGGAUGGUGUUUGGCAAACCAUGCUACGCAAUAAGUAUAUAGGCCAAAAGGCGGUGUCUCAGGUAUAUUGGAAAACUGGAGACUCACACUUUUGGGCCGGCCUAAUGGCGGCAAAGAAACAUCUCUUUCGCUUUGGGUCUUUCGCGAUAAAGGACGGGUCGGAGAUUCGUUUUUGGGAAGACAUCUGGCUAGGCAAUGCUAGCCUCCGAGAACAAUACCCAGCCCUAUACAACAUUGCACGCGAUAAGAAUAAUACUAUUGCGCAAGUGCUCAGCUCAUCCCCGCCAAAUAUUUCGUUUAGGCGGGAUUUGAUUGGCACCCGACUUAUGUCAUGGAAUAAUCUAUUGUCCCGUCUGGAUUCGAUUAUCCUGACACAAGGUCGUGAUGUGUUUCGCUGGAACCUUACUACAUCGGGGUCUUUCACAGUAGACUCUAUGUAUCGUGCACUCUCGCAUUCUGAGGUACCGGUGAGAAAUAACAAAAUAAUUUGGAAAGCGAAGGUACCACUUAAAGUCAAAAUAUUCAUGUGGUAUCUCCGUAGGGGAGUUGUGCUAACAAAAGACAACCUCGCAAGACGCAACUGGUCGGGAAGUAAGAAGUGUUGUUUUUGUACUCACGACGAGACAAUUAAACACCUCUUUUUUCACUGUAAGUUUGCGCGUUCUACGUGGUCAGCCAUCCAAAUAGCGUCAAAUUUGUAUCCACCCACAAGUGUUGCCAAUAUUUUUGGUCAUUGGCUGGACGGUAUUUCAAAUAGGUACAAAACGCUAAUAAGGGUGGGAGCGUAUGCCUUACUAUGGUCGCUUUGGCUAUGUAGAAAUGAUGUUGUUUUUAAUGACAAAACUGUUUUGCCUUUG